rnacentral:tRNA from 1 species
AAAGAAAAAACGUCUGUGAAGCAGGGCUGCUAACUUUGUUUUGGGUGGUUAGGCUCCCCCUUUUUCUU